UAAUAUGCAUUCACGCCCUUUUGGGCGUGUUUGGUUCAAAAUAUUCCGGGAUAGCUCAAUGGUAGAGCAGCGCCCUGUCGAUGGCAGCAUCUCGAAGGAAUUCGAGAUUGAAUAACGAGGUGAAUUGCUGGAAACCCUAACGGUAACGCCGAGGACAAUCAGCAGCCAAGCCCGCCCAAAGCUAUGCUAUAGCAUUGCUGGCGGGAAGGUUCAGAGACUAUCCCUUCGGGGAGUACUCGCCAACAGCUGAAAAGUUGUGGCCAGGAAGCGCCUCGCACCGAGACACGGUGAUGAUAUAGUCCACGCCUUUAGGAAACUUUAGG
rnacentral:ribozyme from 1 species